GCCCUCCAUAUAUCUCAUUCUCUCUUUUCGCAUGUGGAUGUUCGUGGCGGUAGGACUCGCUUCCAUAUAUCUCUAUAUAGUCGUACACACCAGCACCGCCAUCCUGAUGCCUUAGGUAUGAUCGGCCUACCCAGGUCACCGCGACAUGGCGUACGACUAGCCGCCCUCGCCUGUGCCUCCGUGAUAUGCCCUAGGGUUGCCCGCCCUUGACUGCGCCACAAUCGCCUUAGCCCGAUCUGGUACUAUCCUUGUCGAUUCAUGACUUAAUCUACCAGUACAUGCUUCUGGUUCUGUGAUAAUUUG
rnacentral:lncRNA from 7 species